UACGUAGGAGGCAAGCGUUGUCCGGAGUUACUGGGCGUAAAGCGCACGCAGGCGGUCUCUUUAGUCUGUAGGGACAGGGCACAGCUCAACUGUGUCAGGCUUACGGAAACUGGGAGACUUGAGGGCUUCAGAGGGAUGGGGAAUUCCGGGUGGAGUGGUGAAAUGCGUAGAGAUCCGGAAGAACACCAAAGGCGAAGGCACCAUCCUGGGGAGUCACUGACGCUCGGGUGCGAAAGCGUGGGGAGCAAACAGG
rnacentral:rRNA from 1 species